AGAGAGUGCAAGCGUUAAUCGGAAUUACUGGGCGUAAAGCGCACGUAGGUGGAUACUUCAGUCGGAUGUGAAAGCCCUGGGCUUAACCUGGGAACUGCACUCGAUACUGGGUAUCUAGAGUAUAGUAGAGGGAAGUGGAAUUUCCGGUGUAGCGGUGAAAUGCGUAGAUAUCGGAAGGAACACCAGUGGCGGAGGCGGCUUCCUGGACUAAUACUGACACUGAGGUGCGAAAGCGUGGGGGAGCAAACAGGAUUAGAGACCCUGGUAGUCCACGCUGUCAACGAUGAGAACUAGACGUUGGGGGGGUAACCUCUUAGUGUCGAAGCUAACGCGUUAAGUUCUCCGCCUGGGGAGUACGACCGCAAGGUUA
rnacentral:rRNA from 1 species